GACGAACGCUGGCGGCGUGCUUAACACAUGCAAGUCGUACGGUAAGGCCCUUUCGGGGGUACACGAGUGGCGAACGGGUGAGUAACACGUGAGUAACCUGCCCACAACUUUGGGAUAACGCUAGGAAACUGGUGCUAAUACUGGAUAUGUGCUCCUGCUGCAUGGUGGGGGUUGGAAAGCUCCGGCGGUUGUGGAUGGACUCGCGGCCUAUCAGCUUGUUGGUGGGGUAGUGGCCUACCAAGGCGGCGACGGGUAGCCGGCCUGAGAGGGUGACCGGCCACAUUGGGCCUGAGAUACGGCCCAGACUCCUACGGGAGGCAGCAGUGGGGAAUAUUGCACAAUGGGCGCAAGCCUGAUGCAGCAACGCCGCGUGCGGGAUGACGGCCUUCGGGUUGUAAACCGCUUUCAGCAGGGACGAAGCUUUUUGUGACGGUACCUGCAGAAGAAGCACCGGCUAACUACGUG
rnacentral:rRNA from 1 species